UAUUCAUUCAUUUACUCAUUCUUUCUAAAAUUAAGAGCUGUCAAUCAUCCGUCCCUUUCCUUUUCGGCGGAUAAGAAAAUGACAGGUAUAACUUAAAGUAAAAUUAGGAGGUGUCUGCAGGAAUCGGGGCCAAUACCACCCUUAGUGUGAUCAG